UUCCGGUUGAUCCCGCCGGAAGUUACUGCUAUCGGUGUUCGCCUAAGCCAUGCGAGUCAUAUGUUCUUCGUGAACAUGGCGUACUGCUCAGUAACACGUGGAUAACCUGCCCUUGGGUCCGGCAUAACCCCGGGAAACUGGGGAUAAUUCCGGAUACCGCAUAUAUGCUGGAAUGCUUUAUGCGUCAAAUGGAUUCGUCUGCCCAAGGAUGGGUCUGCGGCCUAUCAGGUAGUAGUGGGUGUAAUGUACCUACUAGCCAACAACGGGUACGGGUUGUGAGAGCAAGAGCCCGGAGAUGGAUUCUGAGACAUGAAUCCAGGCCCUACGGGGCGCAGCAGGCGCGAAAACUUUACAAUGCGGGAAACCGUGAUAAGGGGACACCGAGUGCUAGCAUCAUAUGCUGGCUGUCCAGGUGUGUAAACUACACCUGUUAGCAAGGGCCGGGCAAGACCGGUGCCAGCCGCCGCGGUAACACCGGCGGCCCGAGUGGUGAUCGUGAUUAUUGGGUCUAAAGGGUCCGUAGCCGGUUUGGUCAGUCCUCCGGGAAAUCUGAUAGCUUAACUAUUAG
rnacentral:rRNA from 1 species